UGAGAGCACUACCUUCCUUCAGGAGGGGAU
rnacentral:piRNA from 1 species